rnacentral:rRNA from 1 species
AUUGAACGCUGGCGGCAUGCUUUACACAUGCAAGUCGAACGGCAGCGCGGGCUUCGGCCUGGCGGCGAGUGGCGAACGGGUGAGUAAUGCAUCGGAACGUGCCCAGUAGUGGGGGAUAGCCCGGCGAAAGCCGGAUUAAUACCGCAUACGACCUGAGGGUGAAAGCGGGGGACCGAAAGGCCUCGCGCUAUUGGAACGGCCGAUGUCGGAUUGGCUAGUUGGUGGGGUAAAGGCUUACCAAGGCGACGAUCCGUAGCUGGUCUGAGAGGACGACCAGCCACACUGGGACUGAGACACGGCCCAGACUCCUACGGGAGGCAGCAGUGGGGAAUUUUGGACAAUGGGGGCAACCCUGAUCCAGCCAUGCCGCGGGCGGGAAGAAGGCCUUCGGGUUGUAAACCGCUUUUGUUCGGGAAGAAAUCCUCUGGGCUAAUACCCCGGGGGGAUGACGGUACCGGAAGAAUAAGCACCGGCUAACUACGUG